UAGACGUAAUUGUAUUUUCUUGCAUUUCUUCUCAUCGUGCAUAAACACCGCAUUUAGCGCAAUUAUUUUAGAGACUUUAGGGUUUCUGCUCCAGUGCUCCGCCCUGUGAUAAGCUUUCCUCCGCCACACCGCCCUCCGCCUCUACUUCGACGUUUCGCCAUUGCUGCUCAGUGGUAUUCCUUGAUCUAACACCGCAACGCCACACAUUUUUCAUGGAUUGUGUUGAUUUCUAUUCUCUUUUUGAGGAUUCGGAUGGGAGGACUAUUAGUUCGCCUGCUGCUUCAGAAUUUGACUUUGUCAUUGUGGGUUCUAAUGUUGUCAAUGGGGAUAUGUUGCUUAGGAAAAGUAUACUACAGCAAUGGGCUCUGCUACGCGCAAGAGAACACGUUCACAAACAUGGGCAAUUUUGAGCUCUCAAGCUGCAGAGGCAUCACAACCCUCUCAAGCUGCAGAGGAACAGAACACUGUGGUCAAAUCUAAAACAAAAGCCAAGAGACAAAGAACAACAAGGGCCGUACUCAAUUCGCAAUCUGCUGAACCAUCCCAGCAGCAGCUUGAGGAGCUGCUCCAGCAUGAAGUAAUAAGAGAAAAAAGGUCAAAACAAAUUAAUGAUAGGCAUAAGGGCAAAGAAGCCCAUCUUGUCCCAAAUAAUGGGGAAGGGGAACAUGCAGAUAAUGAUGCAGAAGGGAGUGCUACUCCCUACUUCAGCACGCGAAUGGGGCCAAAGACCAUGUUCAAGUUUGUACAGAAACUAACGCCAGAACAAAAACAAUCUGUGCGUGAUAUUGGUUUUGGAGCCCUGUUGAACCUUCAGCUAUGCACAAGUGAUUCACAGUUAGUGCAGUAUUUGCUUGACAACUUUGAGCUUUACCAAACACAUUUCAAAUUGGAGAAUGAUAAGCUCACUGUUGAAGAAGAGGACAUAAAGUACACUCUUGGCAUUCCACGGGGAGAAAAGGUGGUUGUUGAGGGCCCAAAGUAUGAUGAACAAGGAAGACCAAAGUACAGAGCUCUGUUACAAAGUUGGAGGACAAGGUGGAAUAUUAAAAUUGGUUCCCCAAUCACAACCAAAAUGGGGGAUGUGAUUGUUAAAAGAGGAGAUUAUGGUGAUGAAUUUAAAAGGGGCUUCAUGGUCUUGACUGUUUCAUGCAUGAUGCGAGGAUUUCAGACACGCCGCUGCAACCAUAAAAUACUCAACUCCUUGGUUAAUGUUGAUGAAAUAAAGGAAUACAACUGGUGUAACUACACCUACAACUCUCUUAUCAAAUCCAUUAAGAAGUACAAAAAAAAAAGUAAUGGAUUUUUUACUGACCGUUGACAUUCAUACUGCUAUUCUACUUUGAUUGGGUCCAAUUCAAAGGGAUGAGAGUUGAGAGAACAUAUCCAAGCAUAACUGCAUGAACAAAAAAGCUUGCAAGACAAAGAGUUUCUGCGGAAAGAAGGUCAGGUGGAUAUGGUAAAGGGAAAGUUAUCCCGCGUGUUGCAAAGCCUACUGCUCCUGAUGCUCAUGAUGCUAUUGCUUCUACUUCAAACCAACCUGCUGCUCCUGAUGCUAUUGCUUCUACUUCAAACCAACCUGCUGCUACUGAUGCUCAUCCGACGGUCCCAAGAGUCUCUGUGCCGCCAUCCAGUGUUGAUAGAGUCACACAAGUGCUACGGCGGCUUACUGUUGAUGUCUUGGAGUUUGGAGAGGCAAUGGCUGAAGUUGGCAAACAAAAUGCCCCUGUGGAUGUUAUGAAGACCGCCUUUUCUGGAAUUUCUACCAUGAUCACCGUGGCAAGUACGAUAGACAGACCACCAACCCCAACCUUCUCUCAACUUGAUGACAUCUUCUUCGGCCAGGAGUCUUUCACAAAGGCCGUUGAUGCUUUGGUUGAAGCUUUUCAAAAGACCACCAAGAAAAUGGAGUUUGAACCUCCAUCAUUUGAUUUGGGAAUUUCUUAUACCCCGGCACCAUUGGUUGAAGAACCACAAGAGCAGUGCACGUUGGAUGAACAGCAAUUGGAUGCCCUGCUACACCUGCUGCUACACAUGCUACUACUCCUGCUGUUACACAUGCUGCUACCCCUGCUGCUUCAACAUCUGAAACCCAAGAAAUAACUCCAUAUAUUAGGGUGCCAUUCCCCAAAGAUGUCCCUGGUGAUGCUGAUGCUGCUACACUUGCUCAGCAGCACUUGCUGCUAACCUUGAUGAUAUUGAUAGUGCAUUUCUGGAGAGCGAAUCCGAUGUUGAAGAUGUCACUGUCCGAAAGAGACCAAUCCGAAAAUUAAAAAACAUCUCGCUGAAUUUGAGGUCACCUUUUUGGACAAAGAAUGCACCAUUGUCCAUAAUGCUAGUGCCACAGAGAAGGCCGUAUCAAACUAUGCCUUCAUGGAUGCUUCUGCAAAUCAUCCAAGAUGAAACUCUAUUUAGCUUUGAUGAUUUCUCUAUGACACGGAGAGAUUUCCACACACUAAGCAACGGUAAAAUUUUUAACACCUUCAUUGAUGUAUGAGCG